AAUGGGAAAAUUGCAGUUAUGAAAUAGCAACAAAAUGAGUUUAUGAUGGGGGCGGGCCACCACAACACGAGGAACUGUAUCAAAGGCUCACAACCUCAGGGAGGUUGAGGACCACUGACUGCUGGUGUUGCGGCUGAGCUCACAAACUGGAAGAGAGCGGGUUUGGGCAUCAAGAUGUAUCCUAAGACGAUGCUUUGUAUUGGGUGUCUUGAAAAAAAUAUAUUAUGGUUUCAUCUCUGGAAUAUCAGUUUAAAGUGUGACUAUAAACUUCCUCACACGGUCUCACAUCUACUAUGCCCAAGGGAGCAACCAAUGUUGCAGUAGGAAGAACAUAAUACACUCCUGAUGUGAGGUGGUGCCAUGUUGUGAUUCUGGCCUGCACUGCUAACUUUUCUGAGGUGUUGCCCUAUGGGUGAGCUAGGGAGUCUCUGCAGGGUCGAUGCAGGUGCUAAAGAUAAAUGGAAGUGAGUUUCCCAGCACAGCAUUCUGACACCCAGUAAGUGCCAGCAGUAGACAGCCACACUGAGCUGCGGGGUGGCAGCAAGCCUCUAACUUCCAUUGCUGUCGAAAUUUGGAAGGUUCAAGAACAAAAUCAGAAGGAGAUUUUUUUUAAGCCCUCUCUUCCUCCAUAUAAAAGCUUUUAUAGGCACUGAAGAUGUGUCACGCUGAAUUCAACCUUUUUCAUUCAGAUUAAUUUUAAACGUGGAGUGAAAAAUGCUUCCAGCUGUCAAAGCACUGGCUGUUAGCAACAGCACGGGUGUUGUUCUUUUAAAAGGUCUCCUAAUAUUUCCCUUAGUAACUUGAAGCAGGGGAGCUUCUUUUUCUCUAGAAUGAUGUGAAUAAAAUACAGCUGUGUGGCAGAGGCAGGCGUCGGGCUGAGGAGCUUGGCAGUCUACAAGUGCCGUGAUGCUGAGAUCAUGACUUAUCACUGGAGCUUGUGAUGUGCUCAGAGACGCCUUUUGUGUUUGAUUUCCCAGCGAUUCACAUGGAGAAGUGUGGGAGAUGAGCUUGUCUUUUACGUCCGGUUAAAAGUUACCCCACAGACAUUAGAGGAAAGCAAGAAACACUGCCUACUCAGUGGGCAGGCUCCUACAGAGGAAGAGACACACUCAGCAAACAGUUGUGUGCUCGGGCUCUGGCAGAUGGAGCCUUGCGUCCUUUGGCGAAUUCUUCCACCCUGUAAAGUUUAAUGAUUUGCCCUCCCCACAGAUUGCUGAACCAAUUAUUGCCCACGACUGUUUGAUGUUGAUUUGCUUCAAAAAGCCUCUCAACUUUAACUAAUAGUUGCAAUCUGAAUUAACAAUAACCAAGGAAGUAUGGAAUUGAUGGGUGCAUUCUGGUGAUUCACUCCAUACUCAGCUUGUUAUCUGCAUGAAAUACAACUGUGGCUCCAUGAAUAAUUCUCAAAAAAUGUUGAAUUUAAAAUGAGCUCUGGGUAGGAUAAACAGUAGUUGAAUAAUGCUUAAACUCCACCAUCUGGUAUUCUAGUAUUUUAAUGUGAGCUGAAUUUCUUUUAUUAGGUGCCUAUUUGAGAUUCUUCCUGUAGAGAUCGUUCUGCCGAAGGAGUUCUGUAAGCUGAGGAGAAGCACAAGUUAUGAUUCAGGACCAUUUUCUUUUAUAGCAAUGCUCUUAAAGGGAAACCCAAGCCGUAAAAUCCCAGUCAUCGUCCCUAGGGUGCAACUAAAGAAUCCCUGACAAAGUUUCUCUUAAUUCAGAGGAUUUAUUUGUGAGACUCCAUAUGGUUGGUGCAUGGUACAUGCAGAAGGAAGGGAAGAGUCACUUGGGGAACAGGGAUGAAGGGAGGGCCCAGAAACAGGAAACAAAAAGAAACGACUGCCAGGGCACAUGCUUGGCCUAUGGAAGUAAAACAGAGUAAAUGAAGGUUGUUUUUUUUUUUUUUUUUUUUUUAAUGAAAUGGUAUUUAAAAAGGAUCAUCAUACCUGUAAAAAUAAUAAUUAAUGAGAAAUAAUAAUCAAUGUUGGGGCUGGAGAGAUGGCUCAGAGAUUAAGAUCAGGAUCUGUUCUGCUCUUCCAGAGAACCUGAGUUCAGUUGCCAGCAUCACUUGGGUGGUUCAAAACCCCCUGUACCUCCAGUUUCCGGAGGGUCUAAAGCCUCUAGAAUCUAUGGACACCUGAAGACAUACACACUUUAAAAUAAAAUAAAAUAUAAUAUAAUAUAAUAUAAAAGCGAACACUAUUUUCUGAAAGUUUUAAGCUAAGCUAGCUACUCCUGUAAUUUAAGAUAGCAUUUGCAUGAGAGAUGUUUUCUUCCCGAUGUGAGAGGCUCAACACAAGCUUAUGUAGAAGAGUCAAGUGACAAUAAUCUUGAACUAUACAUAGCACCCUGACAAAAAUAUUUCCACAUGCCUUAUCCCAUUUGACUGAAACAGCAGAACUGGGUGUCUCCACCUGAUUCUGUGUCUCACCCACAGGGCCAGUUACUGAAUGACAGAACCUUGAGGUCAGUUUUACUUUUCAAAAUCUCAACUCUAACUCUUAUAUUUUAAAUUAGUCAAAGUGGAGAGGAUAUACUGCAUAUAUUG
rnacentral:lncRNA from 1 species